rnacentral:rRNA from 1 species
UACAGAGGUCUCAAGCGUUGUUCGGAUUCAUUGGGCGUAAAGGGUGCGUAGGCGGCGCGGUAAGUCGGGUGUGAAAUCUCGGAGCUUAACUCCGAAACUGCAUUUGAUACUGCCGUGCUUGAGGACUGGAGAGGAGACUGGAAUUCUCGGUGUAGCGGUGAAAUGCGUAGAUAUCGAGAGGAACACCCGUGGCGAAGGCGGGUCUCUGGACAGUUCCUGACGCUGAGGCACGAAGGCCAGGGGAGCAAACGGG